UACGAAGGGGGCUAGCGUUGCUCGGAAUCACUGGGCGUAAAGCGCACGUAGGCGGAUCUUUAAGUCAGGGGUGAAAUCCUGGAGCUCAACUCCAGAACUGCCUUUGAUACUGGGGAUCUCGAGUCCGGAAGAGGUGAGUGGAACUCCGAGUGUAGAGGUGAAAUUCGUAGAUAUUCGGAAGAACACCAGUGGCGAAGGCGGCUCACUGGUCCGGUACUGACGCUGAUGAGCGAAAGCUAGGGGAGCAAACGGG
rnacentral:rRNA from 1 species